GCUUCUGGCAGUUUCGACGCUGACGUCGCUGCCGAGCUCAUUUCGCGUUCGGACUCUGGCAGUGGAGGUUGCUCUGCUCUCUCGUCCCUGGAAUCGGUAACCUCGCCCGCUCGGGUUCCUGGUCACCGAGGAAGGAGCCCGCUAGGCAUCUCUCUCGCCCUCGCGAGCGCCUCAUCAGUUUAAGUUCCUAGACGCCGUUGCGCUCGCGGACGGAGGAAGUCAUGUCCUCGGCCGCCAUGUCGAAGUACGUGAACGACAUGUGGCCCGGCUCUCCCCAGGAGAAAGCCUCGCCGUCCACCUCCGGCUCGGGCCGCUCCAGCCGCCUAUCGUCGCGCUCCCGCAGCCGCUCUUCGUCCCGCAGCUCCAGCCGCUCGUCGUCGCGCAGCCGUAGCCGGCCGCGGAGGAGCAGGCGGUCCCGAUCCCGCUCCCGGUCCCGCAGGCGCCACCAGCGCAAGUACAGGCGCUACUCGCGGUCGUACUCCCGCAGCCGGUCGCGGUCCCGCGGCCACCGCUACCACCGCGACAGCCGUCACGAGCGGCGGCGGAGGUCCUACGCGUCGCCGUCGCCCUACCGGUCCCGGAGCCGGUCGCGCUCCCGUUCCCGCGGGAGGUCGCACCACCGGUGGUCCUACUACGCCGCGAUCACUCGAGGGCGGCGCUACUACGGCUUCGGCCGAACCGUGUACCCCGAGGAUCGCCCCCGGUGGAGGGAAAGAUCUAGAACCAGGUCGCGCAGCAGGAGCAGAACUCCUUUUCGCUUGAGUGAGAAGGAUCGAAUGGAACUGCUAGAAAUAGCAAAAGCCAAUGCAGCCAAAGCUCUGGGAACAACCAACUUCGACUUGCCAGCCAGUCUCCGGGCUAAGGAAGCAAGCCAGGGAACAGGCGUUUCCAGCAGUGGGCCAAAGGUGGAGAAAUCAUGAAUGUGGUCUCCAGACAGUGAUGAAGAAAAUCUGUUGGUAAUUGAUCAUGGGUUCAAGUGUCAGUUUGUUUACAGAUUAAAGCUUAGCCUUUGUGGAAGGUAGUCUUGUGUGCAUGCUAGAGUUUUGGGCUAGGGACUAUUGCAUAAGGCAGUUUGACAGUUCAGCAGCCUAGAGGCACUGUCAUGGUGGGGCAUCUGUGAUCUAGACGUCCCUCACAUAAUAUAUGCAAUAUAUUCCAGAUGUUUUGAGAGAUUACAGAAGAAGAGGCCUGCUUCACUUGCAGAUAAGUUUUACAAUUCUCCAGAACUACAGAGGAAGUGCAUUGGCACAUUGCAGUGUAUUUAUGUUUUUUUUUUUUUUUAUGUGAAACCUGGAUCUUAAAUAACCUGGGCUGGGAUAUAACUCAUUUGGUAGAGAACCUUGUCGAGAGUGCAUAGUACCGGGGUUAGUUCCCAUCACUGUAAAUGGGGUUUAGUACCCCAAACCUGUGAUCCCAGCACUUGGGAGGCUGUCCUUGGACAGCUAGGGGAUAAAUACAAGAGACUUGGUCUCAGAAGACUGCUUUAUAGAAAAAGUUAAUGGCAAUAGGAUAAUGAAGAUUUUUUGUCUUUUGCUGAGAUUUCAGGGGCUGCCUAGUAUUUGCUCAGGCAAGUACCUAAGAGGGGCUCCAUGAUGAAAGAAUUGCAAUGCCUCAGUUCUUUAGACAAACCAUUUUUUAUUGUAUUUACUCAAAGUGAGUUGUAUUUACAGUAGGAAGCAGGUAUUCAUAGGGAACUAUGCCUCCUAAGUCUCUAAGUGGAAAGCAGGUUUUUCUUGAUUAGCUUCUUAACUGACUAUAGACUGAAUUUGGCUUGUGUAUCUACAGCUACAUUUGUGUAUGCUGGGCUCUUUUUUUAAUACAGUGUUUAAAAAAAUAAGUCUAUGUUUAAAAUUCUCUUCCUCUUUAGCAUUCAGAAAAGCAGACUGAAGAUGGAACUAAAAAUCCCAGUGAAAAGUCUUCUACACAAAGAAACAUAGCCUUCAGCUCGAAUAAUUCUGUAGCAAAGCCACUGCAGAAAGCAACUAAAGCUGCUGUUGAUGAGAAGUCUU